rnacentral:rRNA from 1 species
UAAACGACUCUCGGCAACGGAUAACUCGGCUCUCGCAUCGAUGAAGAACGUAGUGAAAUGCGAUACUUGGUGUGAAUUGCAGAAUCCCGUGAACCAUCGAGUCUUUGAACGCAAGUUGCGCCCGAAGCCUUCAGGCCGAGGGCACGUCUGCCUGGGCGUCACAC